rnacentral:rRNA from 1 species
UACAGAGGCCACGAGCGUUAGGCGGAAUCACUGGGCUUAAAGCGUGUGUAGGUGGAUGGGUAAGUACCUUGUGAAAUCCCACGGCUCAACCGUGGAACUGCUUGGUAUACUGCCUGUCUUGAGGCACUCAGGGGCGAGCGGAACAGAUGGUGGAGCGGUGAAAUGCGUAGAUAUCAUCUGGAACGCCAAUGGUGAAGACAGCUCGCUGGGGGUGUACUGACACUGAGACACGAAAGCCAGGGGAGCAAACAGGG